rnacentral:rRNA from 1 species
UACGAAGGGGGCUAGCGUUGCUCGGAAUUACUGGGCGUAAAGCGCACGUAGGCGGUUUCUUAAGUCGGGGGUGAAAUCCUGGAGCUCAACUCCAGAACUGCCUUCGAUACUGGGAGACUUGAGUUCGGGAGAGGUGAGUGGAACUGCGAGUGUAGAGGUGAAAUUCGUAGAUAUUCGCAAGAACACCAGUGGCGAAGGCGGCUCACUGGCCCGAUACUGACGCUGAGGUGCGAAAGCGUGGGGAGCAACAGG